CAUUCGGUACGCAAGAUUACAACAUGAGACCGACAGUGUUGUGUCUAAUCGUGGUUAUCCUGGUCUAUGCCAUGAUCCAGGAAUCCCAGGGAGAUUCACUGAAGGGCGACUAUAAAUAUACACGCAUCUCUCGUCCCUGUACGCCACAAGAUGGUCCGUCUUGUGAUGGUUACGUAAAGUGCACUGUGCGACAUAAACGCAAGACCGUUGUCAAACUCGACGUACGAGCAAGAUUGGUCAAAACGCGAGGAAAAUAAAUAAAAUGUGUUAAAGUGUGUGCAAAAAUUUCAUUAUGAUGUACUGUAUGCUUAUAUAGUUUUGCUAAAUUAACAAGCUAAACUAACAUAUUCUGGAAUUGUAGCUUGCUAAAGAAAUAGUUUUUGGCAAUAAAAAUAUAAUCUAAUAUAUUGCA